rnacentral:rRNA from 1 species
GGCGGACGGGUGAGGAAUACAUCGGAAUCUGCCCAGUCGUGGGGGAUAACCUCGGGAAACCGGGACUAAUACCGCAUACGACCCACGGGUGAAAGCGGAGGACCGCAAGGCUUCGCGCGAUUGGAUGUGCCGAUGUCGGAUUAGCUAGUUGGCGGGGUAACGGCCCACCAAGGCGACGAUCCGUAGCUGGUCUGAGAGGAUGAUCAGCCACACUGGAACUGAGACACGGUCCAGACUCCUACGGGAGGCAGCAGUGGGGAAUAUUGGACAAUGGGCGCAAGCCUGAUCCAGCCAUGCCGCGUGAGUGAAGAAGGCCUUCGGGUUGUAAAGCUCUUUUGUCCGGAAAGAAAAGCGUUUGGCUAAUACCCAGACGUCCUGACGGUACCGGAAGAAUAAGCACCGGCUAACUUCGUGCCAGCAGCCGCGGUAAUACGAAGGGUGCAAGCGUUACUCGGAAUUACUGGGCGUAAAGCGUGCGUAGGUGGUUCGUUAAGUCUGAUGUGAAAGCCCUGGGCUCAACCUGGGAAUUGCAUUGGAUACUGGCGGGCUAGAGUACGGUAGAGGGUGGCGGAAUUCCCGGUGUAGCAGUGAAAUGCGUAGAGAUCGGGAGGAACAUCCGUGGCGAAGGCGGCC